AAAACGGCCCUUUUCAGGGUCACAGAGUUUUCAUUGCAAUUAACU
rfam:Aedes aegypti strain Liverpool supercont1.479 genomic scaffold, whole genome shotgun sequence.